UGCAGAUUUAUUCAUUGCCAUAAUGAAUGACAUGCCGAGUAUUGAUGUUGAAUUUGAAUCAGAAGAUUCCGCAUAUGAAUGGUAUAAUAGCUACGCCAAAGAAAUUGGGUUUAGUGUUUGAAAGGAAUAUUUGAACAAGGACAAGGUAACUGGUCAGAUACAGGGUAGAAGAUUUGUGUGUUUUAAAGAGGGUUUCUGAAGUAAAAAACAAGGACCAUGUGUGAGGAAACCUCGAAAAGAAACGAGGACUGGUUGUGAUGCAAGAAUGACUAUUUCUUUGCAAGAUGAUGGAAAAUAUCGGAUAAUUGAUUUUGAAGCUACUCAUAAUCAUCCAUUGGUAGAUCCGUCGUUGUCUUAUAUAUUGCCAUCGCACCGGAAAAUAAAUGAGGCCCAAACAGUUGAAAUUGAUUUAGCUGAUGAUUCCGGGAUAAAGCCAAAGCUAGCUUAUGAGCUAACUAGUCGACGUGUUGGAGGACGACCAAAUCUUGGUUAUCUUCAACAAGAUCAUAAAAAUUACCUCCGAACCAAGAGAAAGAAUGACUUAAAGCAUGGGGAAGUAGGGAGCCUCCUGAAUUAUUUUCAUUCCAAGGUAAUGGAAAAUCCCUCUUUUUUCUUUAAGUUGCAAACAGAUGAGGAUGAUCAAAUCACUAAUAUCUUUUGGGCUGAUGCUAAAAUGGUGGUGGACUAUGAUUGUUUUGGUGAUGUAUUGUUCUUUGAUACUACAUACCGAACUAACAAAGAUUGUCGCCCAUUUGGAGCGUUUAUUGGAUUAAAUCAUCAUUAUCAGCAAGUGGUAUUUGGAGCUUCGUUGUUAUACAAUGAAACUGCUGAUUCAUUUGAAUGGUUGUUUGACACUUUUUUCAAGUGUAUGUCAGGAAAAAAGCCUAACACAAUUUUUACUGAUCAAGAUGCUGCGAUGGCAAAAGCAAUACCUUUGGUUAUGCCUGAAACUCAUCAUAGAUUGUGUUUGUGGCAUUUGUCCCAAAAUGCAUUGAAGCAUCUCAAUCACCAUUUCAAGAGCUCAGAUUCUUUUGGCAAGGACUUUAAUAGAUGUGUGUAUGAUUGUGUGGAUGAGGAAGAGUUCUUGGAAUCAUGGAAUUAUCUGGUAAGUACCUAUAACCUUCAAGAAAACACUUGGUUGGAGGGUUUGUAUAGAAUAAGGGAGAAAUGGGCUAUGGCGUAUGGAAGGGAACAUUUUUCUGCUGGAAAGAAAACUACUCAAGUAAGUGAGAGUUAUAAAAAAUUACUUGAAAUCUGACUUGGACUUGGUGCAAUUUUUUAAACAUUUUCAAAGGGCGGUUGAUGAUAGGCGCGACAAGGAAGUGCUUGCAAAUGUUGAUAUGAGCCAGAAAAUACCACUAUUGAAAGUUGAUGUUCCUAUCUUGAGGCACGCUAGGGAUGUGUAUACAGAACCCGCUUUUGAUAUGUUCCAAUAUGAAUAUGAGCAAUCAUUGUGCAUGAUUGUUGAGUCUUGCAUACAGAGGGAGCUAGUCUAUGAGUAUAGAAUAAGCUUGCUUGAACAUUCAAAGCAAUAUAAAGUUACUUUUGUGCAUGCUGGUGGCCUUGCUCAUUGUAGCUGUAAGACUUUUGAGUUUGUUGGUAUUUUGUGUGGACAUGUUAUAAAGGUGCUGGAUGAUUUGAGAAUAAAAAUGAUGAUCCCUGAACACUUCAUUUUAAAGAGAUGGACUAAACAAGCGAGGGCUGGAUGUGCAAUGGAUGUUAAUGAACGUGAAAUUAUAGAAAAUCCCAAAUUAGAGAUGAGUAUGAGCUAUAAUUUCUUGUGUUCAGCCUAUGUGAAAUUGGUGGGUAAAGCGGUUGUUUGUGAAGAAGCUCGGGAUCUCCUAGCAAGGAAUUAUGCUGAGGUCAAUGCACAAGUUGAAAAAAUCUUGACCAUACAAUCACCUCAAGAGCACAAAGGGUCCUCUCCAUCUACUUGUGAGGAAAAUAUGUGCUCCUCCAUACCAACUGAUUUGUUAAGCACGGGUGGGGUACAAGUAAAUGGAUUGAAGAAAAGACGCCUAUUGCAACGGGGAAAUCGAAGAUACAAAAGUUGUCUUGAAAAAGGAUCUAAAAAAAGAAAGGUUCAAACUCAAGUAGCUUCCGACAUGGUGAUUUCAACUUCCCCUCCUCACACAACAUUUCAUUCAUUGGAGGAUUCAAGACAUUCCAAUGAAUUGUUGAAUGAUAAGCAUGGAUACUUUGAAGGUGUGCCUCCACAAAGUUACACUGAGAUGUUAAUGGGGGAUGACACUUCAUAUGACGUUUUACUUGGCUUCAUGAGUUCUCGAAAUAAUGAGGUAGAAUGAAGCAGGAUGUGCAAGGGAUGUUUUGGGGCAUGAAUUUUUUUGGAGACCCAAAUCCAAUGUGAUGUUAAUGUGCCCAUUUUGUAAUUUUUGAUUUACUCCUACUUAUUAUGUCUAUAAUCUUGAGGAUGCAAUUGGAGUAAUUGAUGUGUAUUCAAGAUUGUGUAUUUAUUUGUUUCGUAACUUUGUCA